AUGGCUUCUCGGCCUUUUGGCUAAGAUCAAAUGUAGUAUGACCAUUCGUGAGUCAUUCCUUGUCUUUCAUGACUUUGACUUAUGAAGAACAGUGGUCAGUUAUUUUGUGGACUGUCCCUAAUAUUUUUUUCUGAUUUAAUAAUAUUAUCAACAAGCAUCAUUUACUGAGGGUUUACUAAGUACCAGGCACUAUGCUAAGCCCUCUAUUU
ensembl:snRNA U2 U2 spliceosomal RNA